GAGUGCUCAAAGCAGGCGCGACGCCUGAAUAAUUGUGCAUGGAAUAAUGGAAUAGGACCUCGGUUCUAUUUUGUUGGUUUUCGGAACACGAGGUAAUGAUUAAGAGGGACAGACGGGGGCAUUCGUAUUGCGACGCUAGAGGUGAAAUUCUUGGACCGUCGCAAGACGAACUACUGCGAAAGCAUUUGCCAAGAAUGUUUCCAUUAAUCAAGAACGAAAGUUAGAGGUUCGAAGGCGAUCAGAUACCGCCCUAGUUCUAACCAUAAACGAUGUCAGCCAGCAAUCCGCCUGUGUUCCUCAAAUGACACGGCGGGCGGCUUCCGGGAAACCAAAGCUUUUGGGUUCCGGGGGAAGUAUGGUUGCAAAGCUGAAACUUAAAGGAAUUGACGGAAGGGCACCACCAGAAAUGGAGCCUGCGGCUUAAUUUGACUCAACACGGGGAAACUUACCCGGCCCGGACACAGGAAGGAUUGACAGAUUAAGAGCUCUUUCUUGAUUCUGUGGGUGGUGGUGCAUGGCCGUUCUUAGUUGGUGGGGCGACUUGUCUGGUUAAUUCCGAUAACGAACGAGACUCUAGCCUACUAAAUAGACGUUCCGAUCCUCUUUCGUCGGACGUUCUUCUUAGAGGGACAAGCGGCGUUUAGCCGCACGAGACAGAGCAAUAACAGGUCUGGGAUGCCCUUAGAUGUCCGGGGCCGCACGCGCGCUAC
rnacentral:rRNA from 1 species